rnacentral:rRNA from 1 species
CUUGAGUAGUGCAGAGGUAGGCGGAAUUCCCGGUGUAGCGGUGGAAUGCGUAGAUAUCGGGAGGAACACCAGUGGCGAAGGCGGCCUACUGGGCACCAACUGACGCUGAGGCUCGAAAGUGUGGGUAGCAAACAGGAUUAGAUACCCUGGUAGUCCACACCGUAAACGAUGAUUACUAGGUGUUGGAGGAUAGACCCCUUCAGUGCCGCAGUUAACACAAUAAGUAAUCCACCUGGGGAGUACGACCGCAAGGUUGAAACUCAAAGGAAUUGACGGGGGCCCGCACAAGCAGUGGAGUAUGUGGUUUAAUUCGACGCAACGCGAAGAACCUUACCAAGUCUUGACAUCCUCUGGCGAUGCUGGAAACAGUAUCUUCCUUCGGGACAGAGAGACAGGUGGUGCAUGGUUGUCGUCAGCUCGUGUCGUGAGAUGUUGGGUUAAGUCCCGCAACGAGCGCAACCCUUAUGGAUAGUUGCUACGCAAGAGGACUCUAUUCAGACUGCCGUUGACAAAACGGAGGAAGGUGGGGAUGACGUCAAAUCAUCAUGCCCUUUAUGACUUGGGCUACACACGUACUACAAUGGCGUUCAACAAAGAGAAGCGAAGCCGCGAGGCAGAGCAAAACUCAAAAACAACGUCCCAGUUCAGAUUGCAGGCUGCAACUCGCCUGCAUGAAGUCGGAAUUGCUAGUAAUCGCAGAUCAGCAUGCUGCGGUGAAUACGUUCCCGGGCCUUGUACACACCGCCCGUCACACCAUGAGAGCCGGGGGGACCCGAAGUCGGCAGUCUAACCGCAAGGAGGACGCCGCCGAAGGUAAAACUGGUGAUUGGGGUGAAGUCGUAACAAGGUAACCA